ACUGUUGUCAGGGCCAUUUAAAUAGGCGUUAUCAGUCGCUAUAAGCCCCAUAGAUGUGGGUCAGUAGGGGCUACUGCACCCACUAGUAGGUUUUAAUCAUCUAUUCACAAGGUAGAUAAUAAGGUGCUGUA